rnacentral:rRNA from 1 species
AACGAACGUUAGCGGCGCGCCUAAUACAUGCAAGUCGUGCGAGAAAGGGCUUCGGCCCCGGUAAAGCGGCGCACGGGUGAGUAACACGUAGGUCAUCUCCCCUCGAGUGGUGGAUAACCCUCCGAAAGGAGGACUAAUACAGCAUAAGACCACGGUCUCGUUGAGACUGCGGUCAAAGCAGGCCACUACAUGUAAGCUUGCGCUUGAGGAUGAGCCUGCGGCCCAUCAGCUAGUUGGUAAGGUAACGGCUUACCAAGGCAUAGACGGGUAGCUGGUCUGAGAGGAUGAGCAGCCACACUGGAACUGAAACACGGUCCAGACUCCUACGGGAGGCAGCAGUAGGGAAUCUUGCGCAAUGGACGAAAGUCUGACGCAGCGACGCCGCGUGAGCGAUGAAGGCCUUCGGGUCGUAAAGCUCUGUGGGGAGAGACGAAUAAGGUAUGGCUAACAUCCAUGCCGAUGACGGUAUCUCCUUAGCAAGCACCGGCUAACUCUGUGC